rnacentral:piRNA from 1 species
UGUUUAGACAGGAAACACAAUGGGAAAC